rnacentral:rRNA from 1 species
CAAAAGCGUAUAUUAAAGUUGUUGCAGUUAAAAAGCUCGUAGUUGAACCUUGGGCUUGGCUGGCCGGUCCAUCUUUUUUGAUGCGUACUGGACCCAGCCGAGCCUUUCCUUCUGGCUAGCCUUUUGGCGAACCAGGACUUUUACUUUGAAAAAAUUAGAGUGUUCAAAGCAGGCCUUUGCUCGAAUAUAUUAGCAUGGAAUAAUAGAAUAGGACGUUAUGGUUCUAUUUUGUUGGUUUCUAGGACCAUCGUAAUGAUUAAUAGGGACGGUCGGGGGUAUCAGUAUUCAGUUGUCGGAGGUGAAAUUCUUGGAUUUACUGAAGACUAACUACUGCGAAAGCAUUUACCAAGGACGUUUUCAUUAA